rnacentral:rRNA from 1 species
UACAGAGGUCUCGAGCGUUGUUCGGAUUCAUUGGGCGUAAAGGGUGCGUAGGUGGCGCUGUAAGUCGGGUGUGAAAUCCUGAGGCUUAACCUCGGAACUGCAUUCGAUACUGCGGCGCUUGAGGACUGGAGAGGAGACUGGAAUUCAUGGUGUAGCAGUGAAAUGCGCAGAUAUCAGGAGGAACACCAAUGGCGAAGGCAGCUCGCUGGGACGUGACUGACGCUGAGACGCGAAAGCGUGGGGAGCAAACAGG